rnacentral:rRNA from 1 species
ACGGAAGGCAGCAGUGGGGAAUAUUGCACAAUGGGGGAAACCCUGAUGCAGCGACGCCGCGUGAGUGAAGAAGUUAUUCGUAAUGUAAAGCUCUAUCAGCAGGGAAGAAAAUGACGGUACCUGACUAAGAAGCCCCGGCUAACUACGUGCCAGCAGCCGCGGUAAUACGUAGGGGGCAAGCGUUAUCCGGAUUUACUGGGUGUAAAGGGAGCGUAGGCGGCGAUGCAAGUCAGAUGUGAAAACCCGGGGCUCAACCCCGAGGACUGCAUUUGAAACUGUAUUGCUAGAGUAUCGGAGAGGUUAGUGGAAUUCCUAGUGUAGCGGUGAAAUGCGUAGAUAUUAGGAAGAACACCGGUGGCGAAGGCGGCUAACUGGACGAAAACUGACGCUGAGGCUCGAAAGCGUGGGGAGCAAACAGGAUUAGAUACCCUGGUA